rnacentral:rRNA from 1 species
GAUGAACGCCGGCGGCGUGCUUAACACAUGCAAGUCGAGCGAGAAGUUUUGAAAAGAUUCUUCGGAUGAAAUUUAAAAUGGAAAGCGGCGGACGGGUGAGUAACGCGUAGGCAACCUGCCCCAUACAAAGGGAUAGCAUUUGGAAACGAAUAUUAAUACCUUAUGAAACUUAACUAGUGCAUGCUAGGUAGGUCAAAGAUUUAUCGGUAUGGGAUGGGCCUGCGCCUGAUUAGCUAGUUGGUGAGGUAACGGCUCACCAAGGCGACGAUCAGUAGCCGACCUGAGAGGGUGAACGGCCACAUUGGAACUGAGACACGGUCCAAACUCCUACGGGAGGCAGCAGUGGGGAUUAUUGCACAAUGGGGGAAACCCUGAUGCAGCAACGCCGCGUGAACGAUGAAGGCCUUUGGGUCGUAAAGUUCUGUUCUAGGUGAUGAAAACUGACAGUAACCUAGGAGAAAGCCCCGGCUAACUCCGUG